rnacentral:tRNA from 1 species
UGAAAAAUAGUGUAACGUGCACGCAGGCCUUUGACUCCUGAAGAGUGGCCUCUGGUCCCCUUUUUCAA